rnacentral:misc_RNA from 1 species
UUAUUUUGUUAUAAACUUUGUGUUACAUUCAUUAACUUGCGUUAAAAAAAAAUAAAGACUGAUCAGACGCCACACCAAGGCAGCGAAUGACGACGGUGCACAGGGUUAAGAGUGGAAGACGGGUUCUCUGUGGAAGAGACACCCAAAAUUCACUAAUGAUCCUUCCGCAGGUUCACCUACGGAAA